rnacentral:lncRNA from 1 species
GCAAGUCCAACUUAUGAAUAGUUUCAUAAAUUCAUUUCUUGAGUUUGAGUAAGUAGAAGCAACAUAGAGCUAAGCUAGGGUUUGGAUCAAGAGUGAAAGCUUGAGCAAGAGAAGGCUUGGAUCAUCAUCUUUGCUUAAGGUAAGAGAUUAGAAUUCAUGAUUCUUGAGUGACAAGGAGGGGGGAGAUUGUCUAUGUCUCCGUUCCCGAACUCUCCCACUCAAUUUCUUUUAGACUUUUGAUAAGCUUU